rnacentral:lncRNA from 1 species
UUUUUGAAAAAGGAGGAGUGACUUUUUAUAGGAAGAGCCUUGAGGAACUGGUGCAUUCUACCUCUCUUGAAGUCGUCUGAUCUAAUUUAAGCUCUGUCUUGGAAGAUAGAUGUUAGCUAAACACAACUUAUUGGCCUCGUUACAGGCCUGUGUGUGUGAAAUUCUGUGGCCUUCAAGUCCAGGUGAGGAGAUUCCCUCUCCAAAUACCAACCCAACAACUGCGGGUUCCUCCUGUGCCGGCUGGGUCUGAGCUGGAAAUGUUCUACAACACGUCAUAAAUACAACUGCAAAUCACGAGGAAUGCGUUGCCACAGAGAAAAACUUCACUAAAACGUCAGGCUCCCUCGCUGGCUGCGACGGUGGCCGCAGCGCCGUGCCACGGGCCUUUCAGUAACCAUCACCGUGAUGAAGAAGGAUGCAAGGAAAUCUGCAGGAUGUGCAUAGCUGACGACCUCAAGCAGCAGCACGAGCAGUGGGACAGAGGACCUUCUGUUAGGACAGGUACAUUAGAGAUCCUUGAUGAGGCGCGUGGUGGGAAAAGAGACAACAGAACCUGCCCGGUAAUGUCAGCAAGAGCAGGAGCUGCACAAAGGAGAGCUUGAUGCUGCAGAACUUCAGGUAAAAUGCAUUUGAGAGUGCGGGCAGGAACUUCAAAACCUGAAACUUCCCCAGUGCUGUAACGGGUUUGGAAUAAGCUGGGCCAGGAUCUCCAUAAGCAUGGGGCAAUAAGGAAAGUCCAACUGGGGCACUGUUGAAAGCUCUGCCAUCAUCCAAGUGUCUCCUUAUGAUCCAGGUCAGAUGGGACAAGAAUCAAACACCUACUGAAGUCAAAGCAUGAAUAUGUGAUUGACAUUGCUUAAAAUACAGAGAGUGGCUAAAUUCAGGUUAAAAUCAAACAUAGUCCCCCCUGAACAAUACGUGUCCGUCACUGCCAGUUAAUUGUGCUGCUGUAUAAAGCUGUCAGGAGCCCUUGGCUGAAAAGAAACAUUCAUCAGGAUCCAAAGUGAUGGACAAGAAGAGCAGCCUCACAAGUGGAAAAUUAAUGUUUCCUGUUUGGAUAAAUCCUCUCCACUUAUCCCAUUAUUCUAAGAGGUUUGUCUGGUCAAUCUUCAUUUCAUUUUGCUGGUAGGCCUUACACAGACUGCCGAGGUUCCCACUGCAGGAGUCCCUGGCGGAGCAAACAAAGUGCCAUAAACACUAUUAUACUCCAGUGCUAUGCUGGUAAUGGCUUUUGGAGUUUGGAUUCUUUGUGGAUUAUUCAAGGAAGGGAAGUGGGGAAU